UUAUAGCCACUCUUUUUCGCAAUAAACAAAAUGACAAAAAUAGUUUUGUUCUGCGAUAAAGUACCGCGACAUUUGCACACAAAGUCCUUUAUUUGCAUUUUAUAACAAAGCAAGUAGAAAUUGUCCGUCGUCGUCUAUCGGGAAACACCAACGAUAAAUUACAGACAUUUCCUCUCGCCGAUAUUUUCAAGCGCCAUCGAAAGGAGUGAAAUGUCUUCGUUUGUCGAGCGACAGCGUGUCUGUAUAUAUUAACCACAGCCAAGAAGAUGCGCGGCCCCGUGUGGGGUAUAAUGAAUGACCAUAGAUCUACAAUUGACUGCGAACGGUCUCUGAAUCACGAUACAAGAGGCCUGCGUGUUCGUCGCGCCGUCGCAGGGAGAGAAGACACGCGACGUGAGAUCGUGCGCAAAGGCGAAAACGUACGAGACUUUACCAACAUUAUCCUUGCGUGUCCGGUAUUAAAUGCGUUCUAAUGGAUCGAGCCGAGUGAAAUUUAUGUAGGGAACGUCCGAUAGGAAUCUGAAUCCUUCUUCACGAAGAAGCUUCGCUGCACAACAUGGACUUCCGAAACGUCAAUCUCCUGAACGUUCGCACGAACUUGCUUUCGGGCAACUUGCUACCCUUAGCCCCGGGCGACUCGCAAUUUUCGAUGGCGUGGAAAUUAUAUGCCGCCUUAAUGUGGCUGGUUCAAGCGAUACAGGUGAUCGUGUUGAUCCCCGGUAUCAUCAUGGUGCCACGGCAGAAAGCUUUGGUAGACGGCACGGUCACUGCUGUGCUCACCAUCGAGGUGUUCUUCAAUAUCGGGCGGAUUCACAUGCGCAGAAAAUUAGUGGGUCAAGUGAUCCAGCGAAUCAACGACAUUCUGCGCAACGAGGACGAGACCAUGAAGAGGAUUGUGACGGCGACCCUGCAGCCCAUGAAGGCACCCCUCAGGUUUUACUGGGUGGCAGGUGGAUUGUCCGUCAUCCUGUGGGGCUGCAUACCGCUGCCGCUGAUCUUUGAGAAGACCUCCUUCCGUUAUGAGGAUUACAGGAUGCCAGCAGUCUUCUCCAAGCAGCCGUUCUCGGUCGAGAUUUUCCUGAUGGGCAGCAUCUUCGUGCUGAUCGGUAACACUUAUAUCUUUCUGAAGAAAGGCGGAAUGGAUAUUUACAUGAUACACCUCGUACUGUUGAUAACGGCGCAGUAUCGUUAUACCACCACAAAGCUGAAUGCAGUAUUUCGGAAUGCAAAAUUACAAGGGGAGUUGAAACAAUCUCGCCCUGAAGUAGAUCAAUGGGUGGAAAAGGAGAUAAAAGCGUUGUGCCGGCAUCACAUUGCUGUUUUACAGUGCCUAAGGCGGCUUUCCUGGAAGGUUUCCCGAUCUUUAUGUAUACGUGCGGCUCAAUAGUCCAGUUUUACAUAUUGUGUUCUUGCGUGCAACAAUUACAGGACGCGAGCGCAGGCCUGACCGAUGAAGCGUUCCACGAAAAAUGGUACCGAUUUGGAUCGCCCAUAAAACGUACAUUCCUAUUAAUGAUGUUGGGCACGAACUUGGGGUGCAAAAUUUCGACAAACAAUAAAUUCAAUCUAUCUUUGUCUUCGUUCAUGUCGAUCUUAAAUCAAUCGUACUCGAUUGCCCUCGUGCUUUUAUGAACGAGAAGAACAACAAAGAUGUAAACAUCUCGUAGCCUUCUUAGAUAUGAAUGAAUUAUUUUUAGAUUUGAAUGAAAAUUUUUGUAUUGCAAACUGCAGAAAUGACGUUAAAUUUAUAAGUGGACGAAAAUUAAUGCAAGUAGAUAAUAUCAUACAAAAUAAUGCACACAUGUUAAUUGAUUUCAAAAUCACUAAAAUAUAACACCAAUAAUCAGAGAGAUAUUAAAUGUAAAUGUAUUAUAUGAUAUUAAACGUAAA
rnacentral:misc_RNA from 1 species